rnacentral:rRNA from 1 species
GCCAUGCGAGUCGAGAGGGUUCGGCCCUCGGCAGACGGCUCAGUAACACGUGGAUAAUCUGCCCUUAGGUGGAGGAUAACCUCGGGAAACUGAGAAUAAUACUCCAUAGAUCUAGGAUGCUGGAAUGCACUUAGAUUGAAAGUUCCGGCGCCUAAGGAUGAGUCUGCGGACUAUCAGGUAGUAGUCAGGGUAAAGGCCUGACUAGCCUACGACGGAUACGGGUUGUGAGAGCAAUAACCCGGAGACGAUAUCUGAGACACGAUAUCGGGCCCUACGGGGCGCAGCAGGCGCGAAACCUUCACAAUGUGCGAAAGCACGAUGAGGGGAUCCCAAGUGCUUGCUCGUAAGAGUAAGCUGUUUUUAUGUCUAAAAAGCAUAGAGAGUAAGGGCUGGGUAAGACGGGUGCCAGCCGCCGCGGUAAUACCUGCAGCUCAAGUAGUGACCGCUAUUAUUGGGCCUAAAACGUUCGUAGCCGGUUUGGUAAAUGCCUGGGUAAAUCGUGUAGCUUAACUAUACGAAUUCCGGGUAGACUGCCAAACUUGAAACCGGGAGAAGCUAGAGGUACUCCUGGGGUAGAGGUGAAAUUCUGUAAUCCUGGGGGGACCACCAGUGGCGAAGGCGUCUAGCUAGAACGGGUUUGACGGUGAGGAACGAAGCCCUGGGGCGCAAACCGGAUUAGAUACCCGGGUAGUCCAGGGUGUAAACGCUGCUUGCUUGAUGUUAGUUGGGCUCCGAGCCCAAUUAGUGUCGGAGAGAAGUUGUUAAGCAAGCUGCCUGGGAAGUACGAUCGCAAGAUUGAAACUUAA